rnacentral:lncRNA from 1 species
GUAACAACUGCUACAGAGCAAUUCUCUGCACUGCAGAGCAGCAAGAACUGGCUGAUGAGAUCUCACACAGCCUGCACACUGUCUGUUUGGUGAUCUCCAGGUUUUCCACCAAGGCUGUGUCCCCCAGAAAGUUCCCAGAUGCUGAUGAGAGCCGGAACAACAAAUUAUCCUCCAAGGUUUUCAAGAAGGCAACAAGAAUGCUGAGAAGACAAAGACUUUGAAGCGAGGAGAUUGGUCCCAGCCAAUUUCCUGAGAAGGAAAUUCACACUGUGUAUUAAGUACUGUAACCUACUUGCAACAUCCAGUGGGGUGAGAAAAUCUAUUUGAUUCAACUUCUGCGUUGGCUAAGAGCUUAGGAUAACUGCAAUUUUAUUUUUCUUUCUUAUGUAACUAUCUCGACCUUUAUGCCUA